CGGAGCUGCUUUGAUGAGAUCUUCGGAUGGAUUUAAAACAGCUUAGUGGCGGACGGGUGAGUAACGCGUGGGUAACCUGCCUCACACUGGGGGAUAACAGUUAGAAAUAGCUGCUAAUACCGCAUAAGCGCACGGUUCCGCAUGGAACAGUGUGAAAAACUCCGGUGGUGUGAGAUGGACCCGCGUCUGAUUAGCCAGUUGGCGGGGUAACGGCCCACCAAAGCGACGAUCAGUAGCCGGCCUGAGAGGGUGAACGGCCACAUUGGGACUGAGACACGGCCCAAACUCCUACGGGAGGCAGCAGUGGGGAAUAUUGCACAAUGGGGGAAACCCUGAUGCAGCGACGCCGCGUGAGUGAAGAAGUAUUUCGGUAUGUAAAGCUCUAUCAGCAGGGAAGAAAGUGACGGUACCUGAAUAAGAAGCCCCGGCUAACUACGUGCCAGCAGCCGCGGUAAUACGUAGGGGGCAAGCGUUAUCCGGAUUUACUGGGUGUAAAGGGAGCGUAGACGGCAAGGCAAGUCUGAAGUGAAAGCCCGGUGCUUAACGCCGGGACUGCUUUGGAAACUGUUUGGCUGGAGUGCCGGAGAGGUAAGCGGAAUUCCUAGUGUAGCGGUGAAAUGCGUAGAUAUUAGGAAGAACACCAGUGGCGAAGGCGGCUUACUGGACGGUAACUGACGUUGAGGCUCGAAAGCGUGGGGAGCAAACAGGAUUAGAUACCCUGGUAGUCCACGCCGUAAACGAUGAUUGCUAGGUGUAGGUGGGUAUGGACCCAUCGGUGCCGCAGCUAACGCAAUAAG
rnacentral:rRNA from 1 species